rnacentral:rRNA from 1 species
UAGUAACGGCGAGUGAAGCGGGAAGAGCUCAAGCUUAAAAUCUCCGUGCAAGUUUUGCAUGGCGAAUUGUAGUCUAUAGAAGCGUGGUCAGUGAGGGUACUCGGGGCAAGUUCCUUGGAAGAGGACAGCAUGGAGGGUGAAACUCCCGUUCAUCCCUGAGUGGCUCUUGCGUACGACCCGUUUUCUUUGAGUCGCGUUGUUUGGGAAUGCAGCGCAAAGUAGGUGGUAAAUUCCAUCUAAAGCUAAAUAUUGGUGCGAGACCGAUAGCGAACAAGUACCGUGAGGGAAAGAUGAAAAGAACUUUGAAAAGAGAGUUAAAGAGUACCUGAAACUGCUGAAAGGGAACCGAAUCGUUUCCAGUGUCUAUAAUCCGUGGCAUAUUUCAUUGGCGAGUGUGUGCGUGUGUGUGCUGUGGCAGUGGCUUUUAUUGGCUGCGCUCGGUGUGCGUGCUGUGUGUGCUUGCUGGUGCCCUGUGCUGUGGUGGGACGUCAAGGUCAGUUCGUAUGCUGCGGGAAAUGGCUGCCGAGGAGGUAGGGCUUACGCUUGCGUUUGUCUGUUAUAUCUUGGUGGACGAGUCGUCGCGGUUGGGACUGAGGUGCCUAUAACGUGCUUUUGAGUGUGUGUGGGUCUCCGUGUGCGCCGUGUGCGGAUAGCUUGCUAUGCGUGUGUGGUUGUGCGUGGAUUGAUGCGCGCUGUAGCUUGUCGCCGUUC